UCAAUACCCAUUAACAGAACGCGUCCCUCACCCUCUCUUUCUCUCUCGAGAUUUUCUUUUUCUUUUUCUUUGCCUCUGUGAAUAGAAGCCAGCGGCAACACCUCUCUUCCAUUCUAUAUGUUUUCUUCCUUCUUCAUUAGAAACAAAACCAAUUGCCACCAUGAUAGAUACGCACUCAUGAAGAAAAGAUUUGGGUAUUUAUGUUGAAAGGCUUCCUACAAAAUAUUUAGGAGUUAGGGUUUAUGCUCCAAAGAAAAGAGGAAGAUCAAGUUAGCAAUUGAACGAGAGUGGAGUUCCCUGUGAUUGGUGUGAAACCAUGGCUCUUUGGAAUGACUAGUUUGCAACUGGAUAUGUGCUGCCCAAAACGUUUGACAGAGGAAAAGAAACAAGUCAGCUAUAGAGGAUACACGAGAGAUGCAAAAUGGCUUUAUUUGGUUUUGGUUGUCCAAGGAGUUGCUAGCUACUGGCUAUUCAAGUAUCUUGGAGACAUUGGAAGCAAUCAUUAAUCAUUCUAACUCCUUAUAGCUGAAACUGAGUAGCAGACUGUUGUCAGAUUCAGGUCGUUCGGCUUAUUUCGUUUAUAGGCCUCAUUGGAAGGUUGUCAUUUAUUUGUGUCUGUUGUCGGUCUUUGUCAUUCUGCAGCUAUAAGGGAGUCUUUGAGGGAAUUCAGUUUAACUUGUUAUUUAUUGUUUAAAUUUAAGAUUUAGCACAUUAGUGCUGGAUUUGAAAUUUAUGUAUUCUUGGAAUUUUAGUUAUAAUAAAUCUCAAUUGUUAGAUUUUAUUAUUUUGGAGA